GUGUCGUGAGAUGUUUGGUUAAUCCCGCAACGAGCGCAACCCUUGUCCUUAGUUGCCAGCAUUUGGUUGGCCACUCUAGGGAGACUGCCGGUGACAAACCGGAGGAAGGUGGGGAUGACGUCAAAUCAUCAUGCCCCUUAUGAGUUGGGCUACACACGUGCUACAAUGGACGGUACAAAGGGCAGCGAAGCCGCGAGGUGGAGCCAAUCCCAGAAAGCCGUUCUCAGUUCGGAUGCAGGCUGCAACUCGCCUGCAUGAAGUCGGAAUCGCUAGUAAUCGCAGGUCACAUACUGCGGUGAAUACGUUCCCGGGUCUUGUACACACCGCCCGUCACACCACGAGAGUUUGCAACACCCGAAGUCGGGGAGUAAGAGGUCUAGCACAUGCUCCAACUCAUUUUGGGUAACGC
rnacentral:rRNA from 1 species